CUUAUACAUAUCAACUAGCUCAGUAAUUGAUUAUGUACAAGCUUAUUUUAGAGGACAGGCUGUUGUGCUGAUAAUAAGUGUUAAAUCUAUUAAUUCAGUGUGAUAUCAUCCAACCAUGUUGUGUAGGCACAGAUAAUGAAGGCAAUUUAGGUAAUGGAAGUUACAUAAUUUAUUGCAGGGCUAGUUUUGCCGUCUUCACACCCAUUUUGACCAUUUAGCAAUCAGAAAAAAUAGUUGCAAACAUUGUUUGUGACUAGAAGGACUGUUAAUAUCCUACCAGGACUAUCAAAGUCUAUUCUUUUUCAUUUUGGCCACUGUGGAGGAGAAGUGAUUGGGGGGAAAAUACAUCUAAAAAGGCUCCUAAGAGGAGGAGGUAAUAAUGAAAAAAGGAUUGAGAAACACUGGUUUAGAAAUAUGAUCCAUCUCAAAUUUAUUUUUGUGUAUAGUGUAAGGUAGGCUUUCAGUCUCUCUUUUUUUUUAAUUUGCAUAUGUUUAUCCAGUUCGAUAAUACCAUUUGUUGAAAAGACCUUUUUCCCCAUUGAAUUGUUUUAGCACAAUUGUCAAAAUGAUUAACUAUAUAUAUGUGGGUCUUUCUCUGGAUUCUAUUCUGUUCCUUUGGCUUCUUUGUCUAUUACUAUGCCAAUACCACGCUGUCUUGAUUACUCUAGUUCUCCAGUAAGUCUUAAAUCAAAUAGUAUAAGCUCUAGCUCUUUUCUUCUUUUUUGAGACUGGUUUGUCUAUUUUUGGUGCUUGGCAUUUCCAUAUUAAUUUUAGAACCAGCUUGUCAUUGUCUACAAAAUGUACCACUGAGGUUUUUAUUGGGGUUGUGUUCAAUCUAUAGAUCAAUCUGAGGAAAUCAACAAACUUGAGUAUUCCAAUCCAUCAACAUGAUGUGCCUCUCCAUUUAUAUGCUUGUAUUUUUUAUAAAUAGGUUUAUGUAUUUUAUGCUAUUGCAAAUGGUAAUUUUUAUUUCAUUUCUCAAUGGUUUCUUGCUAGCUAUAGAAAUACAAUUGAUUUUCUUUUAUAAUUUGAUAAGUCAUGCAAUUAUCUUUCUAGCUGCAAAUAUUGAAUUCGUAACAAUAAUAAUAUUGUUAUUUACUUGUGUUAUCUAUUAAAACAAAACAAAUCCAAAAUACUGAUGAAUGGCAGGAUUCGCAUUCAGUUUGGGGCAUUCGUUUUUUGUAUAAAAUAUUGUUGAGUGAACAAGUACCAAUUCACACUAAAGUGAUAGGUGGGAGAAAAUGCUAGAGAACAUUGUGUUCCUAUAAUAUACAGCAAGGAUGAUUUUAAACUUUAAGUUUCUUAAGUCCCCAUAUGAAAGCAUUGUAAUUCAUUUACCUCUUUUUGAUGCUACCAGACUUUCUCUACUCUGUAAUAUUCAAUGUUCAUCAGCAUAAUAUACCUUACUAUAUUUAUGCAUAUGUAUCUAUUUAUACCAAACAAUAUAUUUAAGUUACAAUAUUGUUUAAAGUUAACAAAAUAGUUUUAAAACAUAGAUAAUUUUGUUGAAGCAUAUUAUAUGGUAAUACUCAUAGUACUUAUCAAAUUUUGCCUUUAUGAAAAACCAAUACAUAUCACACUUGGAUAAAAAUAUGAAAGUAGAGUAUACAUGAAGGUUAUGUUGCAACUGUAUUCAUUUCUUUAUUUUAUUUUUUCUUUCUUCUCUUUUUUUUAUGCAUAUCCUUAUAUACUGGUACUUUGUUUCUGUAGGAGAUAUUCUUAAAAGUAGGAUUACUGGGUCAAAGAAUAUGUACAUCUAACAAUAAAAUAAACAUCCAUGAACCCAUGACUUCACACAGAUUGAAACAUUUCUAAUCUAGAAGCUGCUGGAGGUUGCUCUCUGCUCCAUUCCCCCUAGCCUCUCCAUAAAGGUGACCAUCAUCUGAAGGUUAUGUUCACAAAUUUCUUGCUUUUCUUUAUAGUCUACAGAAAGAUAGACAGAGACUUACCUAAACAAUAUAUCUUGUUAUCUUUAUUUUUAAGCUUUAUAAAAAUGAGUAUUAUGAUGAAAUAAUAUUUACUUUGAAGCAAAUUUUGAUGACUAAAAAGUUCUCAAUAAACACUUAAAUCAAAUUGCUGGUAUUAUUUGCAUAGUUUACAAAAAUGUUACUCUAUAAAAUAUCUAGAUAACGUUGUGUUAAUAAAUAUCAAUAGCUCUUUGAUUUAAAAGUGAUGAAAGACAACCUAAUUAUAAUUGUUUUUCAUAUAUCCACAUUUUCUUUCAGUGGUAUGAAACUGUCUGGAUAUUUAAAAAUAGGUUACUUUGGCAAGAGAAAACUUGCUGAACUCUGGAAAGUACAAAGUAGACACAAUGGAAGGUUUCUGAACCUGGAGAAGAAAAGAUAAUUUUCUAUAAAUGAUUUUUUUCACAUCUGUGUUUCUUAUAUUCACAUGUAGAUAUCUCAAUUGCUGUAUUACCGAUUUGCUUCACUAGAUGGAGAUAUGAGGCAUAAUAAUUACAGAUGCCUUCAAAAAGGAAAAAUAACAACUUGAGAAAAUAAUUAUUUGUAGAGGAGAAACUAUUGCUUGUAAGAUGUCAUCUUAAAGGAUAUGAUCUUCCAUGUAGUGAAUUGUUCGCUCCAGGGAGAAACAUUUGCUGGAGAUUGAUAAUGAGUACUUUAUUAGUGAAUAAUAAUUCAUUAGUGAACUGAGUGGACUCCUUCUUUUAUUCACUCACUCAUUUGUUCAUUUUUUCAUUCAGUGACUAAGCAUUUUUCACGCCUAGUGUGCCCAACAUGGCCAGGCACUGGGGAUAUGGAAAUAGGAACACAAUCCCAGCCCUCAAGGAGCUCACAGCCUCAGUCAAGUAGGGGAGAUAAGUACAUAAAUGAUCAAUUAGAAUACAUUUGGGGAAGAACUAUCGAACGGAUUCACAUGAGGUUCAGUGAUGGCAUCAAGAAAGAAAUGACUAGCUCUUAUUGAGUAGGAAAAGAUGCCUGGGAUGAGUUUUAAGGGAUGAGCAAUUCAAGGAUGGGAAGAAAACUAUACCAAUAGUCCAGACAAAACUUGGUAAAGACCUGAACCAAGUGAGUACCUCUGGGAUAGAAAGGAGGAGAUAAAUGUACAAGAUAUGGAGGAGGCAGAAUAGGUUAACUAAAUGACUAAAUGAUUGCAGGGAUCAGAGAGUAGGAAGAAAUUUCCUAGAUAGUUUAAGGUAAGUGCUGUGGAGGUCAGGAUAAAAAUUCAACAUGACAAUGAGAAACUGAAAACAAUUUUAAUAAAGCACCGCUACUCAUAUCUUAAAUUGUAGACUGCCUCCCCACCCUUUCCCUCUUCUUGAGAUCUCACCCCAUUCUCUGUUUGCUCUGGCGUGUGAACUUGUUCUUCCUGCCAAAUGAGUCAGUCUCAGUUAGAUUUGUGCUGACAUGUAUUAAAUUUCCUGUAAAAGUAAGAAACUAGUAUGUCAUCCCUUUCUCUCCCUCUCCUUUUCCCUCUCCCUCUCUUUCCUUCUCUCGUCUUCUCUCUCUCUCACACACGCAUGCCACACACAUGCACAUACAGGGAAAAGCAUAUACAAAAAAGUAUAGUGUCAUUUGUAGAAAACUACAAAUAAAAAGAUGUGGAAUGACUAUUCAUACAGCAGAAAAAGAACCUUACACUCACAACGAACUCUAAGAAACUGCGGUUUUUACUCUUAAGUGUUCUUAAAUCCUGGAAUGGAAUAUGGGUCUUACUGCAAGUAUCUAAAUCAUGAUACAUACUCAUCUAUUUGCAAUAGUUUUCUAAGCGGAUUUUUAAGUUCUAUUGUUUUAUGCAAAAGAUUAGAGAUCUAGAAUUUUAAAGUUUCUGUUUUUGGUCUUCCUUUUAAUUUCCACUGUGAAUUUAGCUAUGUUUUCAUUUAACACCCAUAUGUUGAAUUUUAUCUGUCCCUAACACAGAGAGUAUAUUAAUAUGUCCUCAGUGAGUGUGUGAGACUCAGCAAGAAGAAGACUUGCCAUGACCCCACAAAUCAGCCCAGACAGCCCCGGAGUCAGCUUGAGAGAGUAAGAGAGAGCGAAGAGAAUCUGAAGUCACAGAGAGCACCUUCCGAACAGCAAUCGAAUAGAGUGGACAGAAGAGCUUUGGGAGUAACCACAAGGCAACAUCGGACGAUUAGAACGAACUUGGCAAGUACAAACUCCAUUGACCUUUAUAAUAUAUUUCUGAGAAAAUUUACAAAGAGUUCAAGUCAAAAUCGUUUCAAAUGUAACACAAGCUGGUGGAAGGAGCAUACGAGGUUUAUAUCAAAAUGUCUUGGGCCAGCCCGGUGGCAUAGUGGUUAAGUUUGCUCUGUUUUGACAGCCCAAGUUCGCGGGUUAGGAUCCUGGGUGUGGACCUACACCAUUCAUCAAGCCAUGCUGUGGUGGCAACCCACAUACAAAAUAGAGGAAGAUGAGCAUAGAUGUUAGCUCAGGGCCACUAUUCCUCAAGCAAAAAGAGCAAGAUGGACAACAGGUCUUAGCCCAGGGCCAAUCUUCCUCACUAAAAAAAAAAAAGUUUUGAUUUAUAGUGAUUGAUUCUAGGGCUGGAGUAAGAGAAAUCUAAUUGAGCCUGGAAAAUCUUGUGUCAGAAAAUAAGGAAAUACUCAAAACAAUAACACCUCACAAUGAUGAGGCAUGACAAAAGAAUACAAGAUCCAACUUACAAGAGAUCCCAAUGGCCAAAGUUGAAACAAUUUCAGCAAAAAAAUAAAUAAUGAUAGCCUUCGGUUAUAAUCCAUAACAGAAAAUAAAAAUCCAUCAGUCUAUACAUAUUGAUAUAAAUACAUUACAAAGUUUCCACCACGUAAGUAUCACAAUAUUAAUUGUUGCAGGCAAGAUCCAGUAAUACUGAAAUCCAUGGGUGAACGUUUGAGGGAAAACAGAUAUUAGCAGAGUCCCCAUGUAUCUCCUGCAAGAUAUUUAUCAAUUACAAAGGAAAAAUAGUAAAAUGACAGUGGAGAAACCCGGCGGACAUGAUCUCAACCAAGAGAUCAAGGUUCACUUCACCAGUAAUAAGACAGAUCAACAUGUGUAUUUCCUGAUAAAAUGCACUGAGAAAGACACUUCACCUCUGUGGUAUUUGUGCCAAAAAUACACAACUUCAAUCUAAUCUGGGAAAACGUUAGACAAAUCCCAGUUGAGGGGCAUUCUACGAAAUACCUGAGAAGUACUGUUCAAAAGUGUCAAGGUCAUGAAAGACAAAGACUGAGGAACUCUCCCAGAUUAGAAGCUAAGGAGACCUAACAACUAAGUGCAAUGUGAGUUUGUGGACUCGAUCCUAGAAUGACAGUGUAGUCUAGUAUAGACAGUGUAGACAGUCUAGUGUCUUUUUGACAUUAGAGGGAAAACUGAUGAAAUUCAAAUAGGGUCUGUAAUUUAAGUAAUAGUAUUGUACCACUGUUAAUUUUCCGGUUUUGAUAAUUGAACUGUGGUUGUGUAAUUGUUAACAUUAGGGGAAGCUGGAUGAAGGGUCUACCUGAGCUCUAUGUGC
rnacentral:lncRNA from 1 species